GGGUUCGUAGCUCAGUUGGUUAGAGCGCUACCUUGACAUGGUAGAGGUCACAGGUUCGAAUCCUGUCGGACCCACCA
rnacentral:tRNA from 1 species